UACGUAGGGUGCAAGCGUUAAUCGGAAUUACUGGGCGUAAAGCGUGCGCAGGCGGUUUUGUAAGCCAGAUUUGAAAUCCCCGGGCUCAACCUGGGAAUGGCAUUUGGGACUGCAAGGCUGGAGUGUGGCAGAGGAGACUGGAAUUCCUGGUGUAGCAGUGAAAUGCGUAGAUAUCAGGAGGAAUACCGAUGGCGAAGGCAGGUCUCUGGGCUGACACUGACGCUCAUGCACGAAAGCGUGGGGAGCAAACAGG
rnacentral:rRNA from 1 species